UACGUAGGGGGCAAGCGUUAUCCGGAAUCACUGGGUGUAAAGGGAGCGUAGACGGCUGAGCAAGCCUGGAGUGAAAGGCGGGGGCCCAACCCCUGGACUGCUCUGGGAACUGCCUGGCUGGAGUGCAGGAGAGGUAAGUGGAAUUCCUAGUGUAGCGGUGAAAUGCGUAGAUAUUAGGAGGAACACCAGUGGCGAAGGCGGCUUACUGGACUGUAACUGACGUUGAGGCUCGAAAGCGUG
rnacentral:rRNA from 1 species